rnacentral:lncRNA from 1 species
ACCACACCGCUAGCGCCUCUGAACCUCGCCAGGCACGUCCGGUUCUGCGGCCCCCACUCCGCCCCCGCCUGCCGGGAGCCGCGCAGUUACAAAGUGCCGGGAGCCGUGCAGGGCCAGUGAACCCCUCGCUGAGACUCAGUUUGCUGCCAUCACAAGUGCUCUGAGAAUCCUGGAGAGGGAGGAUAUUGGAGACAAACGGGACUGCUGCCCGCCUUUUAGGCGACCGUUGGAGGCUGCUCUGUGCCGGACACAGGCAGGGUAGGUGGAAACCCCGCAGCAGUUCCAAGUUUUGGGGUUUUCGGGGGAAACCCAUGAAGUUACCCCUCCAUGGAAGGGGUGGUCUGCACCCGUUCUUUUCCCCAAGCGGGGGGAAGAGACAGCCUUAGUACAGGCCGGGCUUGCCCCCUCACCGGGGCUGUCUGUGCAGCUGUCACCCUCCUUCCUCCUGGACCUGCCAGGAAAAUGUCAGCCCCGCGAGGGAAAUGGCAAAGGGAAGAUGACAGCAGACGAGAGAAACAACAGCCCCACCUGACACAGCCAGGACCCUGCGGAGAGGCGGCAGGAGCCCCCACUUCCUCGGGACUCAGCCUCUGCACCCCGGGACUGCCCAUGGCCCCUCUGAGGGCUCUCCUCACUCCUUCCUCCCUCAUUAGGGAAGAGGCCAGUACCCAGCAGCCAUGGCCCAAGCGCAGGUGGUCUGUUCUGUGCACCCAGCAUCCCCCUAGGGUCUAAACCAGGUAUGGGGCUGAAAUGGGAGAGGCAGAGAAGGUUGGCAGAGAGGCCUGGGGUGACGGAGGAGGAGUGGGCUGCUGGGCUCUGUUCCGGGCAUGCUUUGGUGUCUCUCUCUCAAGAACCCAGAUCCUAUUAUGAGGACACGGAAGCCCAGAGGGUUCAAGUGACAGCCCCAAGGUCACAGGCAUGGGCGAGCUGGGCUAGUGGCUCCGGUGUGUUGGAGCAUGAGGCUCUGGCAGCAUUGAUGCCACCUUUGCCCCCACACCCAUCCUCAGGGUUAGUGCCCAAGUUGGGGGUGAAACCUGGCCAGCUUCAGUCCACUGACUUUUCAGCAUCCCUUCCUGAGGCUUAGAAACUUCUUUGUCUUUUGGAAAACAAACUCUUUCUGUGCAAGAAACUCCACUCAAUUCUUGGGCAGUGUGACCCCAGUCUUUUUAGUCAGAAGUGUCACUUCCUCUGCUACCCACCAAAGAGGGGGUGUGGCCAGCCGAACAGUCCCCAAACCAGGGGUGGUACCCCCUGCGCCUCAAUAAGAAAAUGAGUGUGGCCAGGAGGGGAACUGGAUGAGAGUGAGAAAUCACCCAUCUGUGAGAAGAGAGGCCUCAUCACCGGGGAGAGAGCGCAGAGUCAGCUUCAGUAGUGACUGGGACAGAGAGAGAGUCCUGUGGCUGUGUGAUAUCAGACAAAGUCACCCAGGGACAGCUGCACAGGUGUCAGUUGCUUUGGUCUUACAAAGAACCAGAAGAAAGCUAUGCUUCAAAGAGAACUGGGUCCACUCUGAUCCCAAGCCUUUCUUCUAGCCCAGGUCCUGAUACAGCACCCACCCACCACCAACGUCCAGGGCUCCUUGCCAUCCCUACCAGCACGUGCUUCUGCUGCCCAACUCCCUCGACUCUUUCCUACCCAUCCAGGGUCCCUGGCCUCUGCUCAGGCACAGAGAAUGCCCCCAUUCCUCAAAUGCAUGUCAGUGUGUGUGCACGUGUACAUGACAGGGCACGUGUGGUCAUUUAGAGAUGUGCACAUUCCUUAACCCAUUGAAAGUCUUGGCAUGGGUUGUGGCCUCGCAGGAGAGCUGUGAGUUCAUGGCAAAGGGGGAGAUGGGGUGGAGCUACCAGGGUGAAAGUGGCAACGGGCCACAAAGCCCUUUGCUGGGAUUUUUGGCUCAGACAAACUCAGGGAAGGCUACUCUGUGGGGCCUGCCAGUCCUGGGACCCCCCACUGUACCUCAAGCCCACCUGGGUCACAGCACUGAUGGCUGACCAGUGUUCCUUGGUCCCAUGUAUCCUGCCCUGUGACCCCGAGCUCAUUUGCCUAAGAUGCAUUGAGGAUUACCAAUCCCAGUGCCCUCCAAUUCUCCCUCUCCACUCAUCCCAGGCGCCAGGCUCUGUGCCAAGCCCAGGUCAUGUUCCCAGUUUUGAACACAACUCUGUGGCCCUGACUUGAAUUUCUACCUCUGUAUCCUCCCAUCAAGUCUGUGGCCCACUCCUCUCCCUUACAGCUCCCACAGCUCAGAAGUCAGCGGAGCAGAGUCCCCAGGAAACCAGGGUCAGGGAUGGAGGCUGCUGAGGAGCGGGUCUGGGAGGUGGAGGCCAGAUACAAGAAAACCACAGUACCAGUAAAUGACAAAGGCUGGAUCUUAACCCAAGUCCUCCGACUCUGAAGGCCAUACCCAACAGGUCCCAUUUUAUUUGUUUUACUUUUUUUUAAUUGAAGAAAAAAAAACUAGCAUUCCCCUACAGUGCCCCCCACCUGGUGGGGACAUCUUGGGUUGGCAAGGCCACCACUUUCAAGAGUAGAAGUGUUUUUCAGCAGGAGGAGUUGGCUGCACCAAAGGAGCUCAGGAGAAGCUGGAGUCUCAGGCCCAGCAGGAACAGCCAGAGGUUUUGCAGCUUUGCCCAGCGGCUGGGUUCGCCGAAGGGUCUCCCUGGGGGUUCCCAGCAUGAGCCGAAGCCACCCUCCCCUGUGGGAUCUGUGAGGCCAGGCAUUGGGCCUCUUUAGGCCUCAGUUUCCUCCCCUGUCAUAGGCAACUGACAGUCCCUCUGGAGCGCCACUGGGGCUGCAGAGGGAGGCCGGAGAGAUGGUGCCCCCCCUCCUCCCCGCCACCCCCACACACAGCCCUCAGCAGGAUGGUGGCUGCCUGGCCGAUUGCUUUUGCAUUUGCAGCAGAGCGGGGGAGUGAGGCCAAGCUGAGUGCCCCCUCCCCCUGCCCAGCCAGCUCAGACCCAGGCGGUGGAGCAGGAAGGCUCUGGGGAAAACAGUGUGAGUCACCGGGCGGCCAGAGUGUGUCCUUCCCUGCUAGCGCACUACACGGCAGGUUUCAUAGGUAAUGAUGUCAUUUAUGAGGCUCCCGCUUGGGGCUGUGUCUGAGUCAGCCUGGCUGUGUCGUGACCAAGCGGAGGCUGGCAGCAGCGAGGCGUGGGCACGGGCUCUGCCGCCGGGCUCUGGCCUCUGCCCCCUCGUGGGGCCCAGGCUGCCAGCCCCAGGCCUGGAACGGGCAGGCAGUGGGGCUGGGGGAGCCGUUUGAGACCUCGGAUUGAUGAAGAAGCAUGCAUUUUCGUGACCCUGGCUCCUGCCUUGGAACGGGGGGCUCGCAUGCAGUGGAGGGGGACCCAGGAGUGAGCCCCGACUUCAGGAGGUUGCUCCCUGCAAAGUGCUUGUUGGGCGAAGGCCAGUGACAUUCUGUGCGAAUCCCUGCUGAAGGCAGAUGGCCUCCGUUGUUAAACCUCCCGCUUAACAAACAUCAUCUCCGAACAUACAGACACACAAACAUAUUUACAUUUUUAUAAUGUGUAUUUAUUAUUCAAAUAGCUUGACAGCAAAGUGUUUGAAAACGAAGAGCAGGAAUUCCGCGGUUCCUGCCCGGCCUCGCCAUCCAGCUGGGAGAAGAGCAUGGUCAUUUC